GUAAUGGUAAUUCAGCUUAGUACGAGAGGAACCGCUGAUUCAGAUAAUUGGUUUUUGCGGCUGUCUGACAAGACAGUGCCGCGAAGCUACCAUCUGCUGAAUAAUGGCUGAACGCCUCCGAGUCAGAAUCCGUGCCAGAAAC
rnacentral:ncRNA from 1 species